ensembl:snoRNA SNORA70 Small nucleolar RNA SNORA70
UUGCAGUCAGCUAAGCUGACUGUGCUCGUUUCCCUGAGGGGCCUGGGGUACCACGGCUGCAGACAGCAGCCUCCUGGCAUGCAUGAAGCAUGCUGCCUGGCUGGGCUGCUCUAAGGGACCCUGGAGACAGCC